rnacentral:misc_RNA from 1 species
UACAGAGGCCCCAAGCAUUAUCCGGAUUCACUGGGCGUAAAGGGUGCGUAGGCGGUGUUAUUAGUCGGGUGUUAAAUCCUUGGGCUCAACCCAAGAAUCGCAUUCGAAACGGUAACACUAGAAGAUGUAAGAGGUGAACAGAACUCUCGGUGUAGGGGUGAAAUCCGUUGAUAUCGAGGGGAAUACCAAAUGCGAAGGCAGUUCACUGGUGCAUUCUUGACGCUGAGGCACGAAAGCGUGGGUAGCGAAUCGG